rnacentral:rRNA from 1 species
UACGGGGGGGGCAAGCGUUGUUCGGAAUUACUGGGCGUAAAGGGCGCGUAGGCGGCCCUCUAAGUCAGACGUGAAAUCCCUCGGCUCAACCGGGGAACUGCGUCUGAUACUGGAGGGCUUGAAUCCGGGAGAGGGAUGUGGAAUUCCAGGUGUAGCGGUGAAAUGCGCAGAUAUCAGGAAGAACACCUAUGGCGAAGGCAGCUCUCUGGGACGGUACUGACGCUGAGACGCGGAAGCGUGGGGAGCGAACAGG